CACGUAGGGGCCAAGCGUUGUCCGGAUUUAUUGGGCGUAAAGAGCUCGUAGGCGGUUGGGUAAGUCGGGUGUGAAAACUCCAGGCUCAACUUGGGGACGCCACCCGAUACUGCUCUGACUUGAGUUCGGUAGGGGAGUGGGGAAUUCCUGGUGUAGCGGUGAAAUGCGCAGAUAUCAGGAGGAACACCGGUGGCGAAGGCGCCACUCUGGGCCGAAACUGACGCUGAGGAGCGAAAGCGUGGGUAGCAAACAGG
rnacentral:rRNA from 1 species